UACGUAGGGUGCGAGCGUUGUCCGGAAUUAUUGGGCGUAAAGAGCUCGUAGGCGGUGUGUCGCGUCGGCCGUGAAAACCUGGGGCUCAACUCUGGGCGUGCGGUCGAUACGGGCAUCACUUGAGUUCGGCAGGGGAGACUGGAAUUCCUGGUGUAGCGGUGAAAUGCGCAGAUAUCAGGAGGAACACCGGUGGCGAAGGCGGGUCUCUGGGCAUUAACUGACGCUGAGGAGCGAAAGCAUGGGGGAGCGAACAGG
rnacentral:rRNA from 1 species